GAAGCUACAUGGGCUGCAGUGGAAUGGAAAAACAAGCAGGGACAUUGUUUAAUUUACAAGCGUGUAGUGAACGGUCUGUCCGAUAUUAUUAACAACCCCUUACCUGAUCAUCAAUAUUAUAUUCUUGUGAUAGAAGCUAUAAAUGACGAUGAUAUUCAUUGAUCAUAUAUUGCAAAGGUGAAGCACUUUGGAGGUAACAUCAUAGAC